CUAAGGGGUGCUGCUGAGAAAUCAGUGGCUGAGAUUAUACCCAUUGACCUGCUCAGGAUAAUGCCUGCGAAGGGAAAUGAUGACC
rnacentral:ncRNA from 1 species